rnacentral:rRNA from 1 species
GAUGGACGCUAGCGGCAGGCUUAAUACAUGCAAGUCGAGGGGCAUCAAGGUACACGAAAGUGUAUUGUUGGCGACCGGCGGACGGGUGAGUAAUAGGUAGGUAACCUACCUCAUACUGAGGCAUAGCUGGGAGAAAUUCCAGGUAAUUCCUCAUGAGGUUAUAUGACACAUGUGAUAUAAUCAAAGGUAUCGCAAGGUACUGGUAUGAGAUGGGCUUACUGACCAUUAGCUAGUUGGUGAGAUAAGAGCUCACCAAGGCGAAGAUGGUUAGGGGUUUUGAGAGAGAGAUCCCCCACAUUGGAACUGAGAUACGGUCCAGACUCCUACGGGAGGCAGCAGUAGGGAAUAUUGGGCAAUGGGCGGAAGCCUGACCCAGCCAUGCCGCGUGAAGGAAGACGGCCUUAUGGGUUGUAAAACUUCUUUACUAUGCGACUAACUAGAUUUACGAGAUAAUUCUAUAGAAUGUAGCAUAGCAAAAAGCACCGG